UAUAGUCCCAGCUACUCAGGAGGCUGAGGCAGGAGAACAGCGUGAACCUGGGAGGCGGAACUUUGAGUGAGCCGAGAUCGCGCCACUGCACUCCAGCCUGGGCGACAGAGUGAGACUCUGUCUCAAAAAAAAAAAAAAAAAAAAAAAAGACUCAUAAAAAUAACUGUCCUUCACCCACUCAUCAGCUCCCAACAUCGUGCCCCUUCCCUUGUUCCUUUCACAUGCGCAUGAAAAUAUUUCAAUGUUAAUUCCCCAAUAUUAUCAAUAACACAUGACUCUACACUAAUUUUAAAAUGAAGCACAGAAACAUGUAAGGAAAGAUGUUCUUACUCUCAAUUCUGUUGACACUUUAAUUACAUAGAGGGGCAGAAAUAGGUGAUCAAGAUAGACAAUGGCGAAGGGUGACCCCCCUGCCACACACAUAAGAGUAGCAAGAACUAAAGGCUAGGUUACACUAGGCUGGAAACACUGGAUGUCCGGACUAAUCUGUAUGCCAGUAAAUAGCUAUAAUAGCUACUAUAAAUGACUAAUGAAAAUUAAAUAUUGCACCUUUUACUGUAUGUAUGACAGUAAUAGGCCC
rnacentral:lncRNA from 1 species